GCAGGGAAUCUUGCGCAAUGGGCGAAAGCCUGACGCAGCGACACCGCGUGGGGGAAGAAGGCCCUAGGGUUGUAAACCCCUUUUCUCGGGGAAGAGUAAGGACGGUACCCGAGGAAUAAGGAUCGGCUAACUACGUGCCAGCAGCCGCGGUAAUACGUAGGAUUCGAGCGUUGUCCGGAUUUACUGGGCGUAAAGGGCGAGUAGGUGGCUUGUCAAGUCUCAUGUGAAAUCUCCCGGCUCAACUGGGAGGGGUCAUGGGAAACUGAUAGGCUCGAGGGCAGCAGAGGGAAGUGGAAUUCCGAGAGUAGUGGUGAAAUGCGUAGAUACUCGGAGGAACACCAGUGGCGAAGGCGGCUUCCUGGGCUGUUCCUGACGCUGAGGCGCGAAAGCGUGGGGAGCAAACCGG
rnacentral:rRNA from 1 species